rnacentral:lncRNA from 1 species
UCAGAACAUUUUCUGGGUAUUGAGACAAUCAUGUCUCUUUUCGUAGCAGCAGCUUCAGUGCUUUCCUUCGCCAUCGGUAUACAUUCAGGCAAGCAAUCUCUUGUCUUUUGUAACACAAAUUCUUUUAGUCCAUCAAGUAUGAUUUACGUUUCUCCCAUCUCAUGUUAAUCAACUGAGUAGAUCGUAAUCUAAUUAUGUAAACUAGUCUAGGAUUGCUCCUGUUUCCCACUCCAAAGUAUGAAAUUAGUUUCUAUAUAUUUCAUUCCAGUCUCCACCAUUUAGUAUUAUUGCUAAUCCGCGUUGCUCUAAAAUCUUCAUCUCCAACCUCAACAAAACACCAUUUUUCCCUAGCAUCUAGCAAAUUUUUUUGGUAAAAGUCCUUUUUGCCCUUUUUUCCAUUUAGCAUCAAAUGAUAUCAAGGGUGUUUGAGUCAUUUUACAUUUUACAUAUAUUAUUAUUAUUAUUAUUAUUAUUAUUAUGAAUUAAAAUAAAAGUACUCAAAAAGUUUUAAAAUGUAACAAUCAUGAUUAUUUAAAUAAUAUGGUUUAAUAUUUUAUUAGUUGUGGUAUUUUUAUUAAUUGUGGUACUCGGUUGAUGAUUUUACUUUUCAACAUUCUAUUAAUAAUAAUAUAUUAUCCUUAUGUUAAACUAAAUAUAAUCAAAUUUUAAUAUACACUAAACAAGGCAUUAAUCAAGUUAAAUGUAAAAUUGUCCAUUAGGGACUCAAAUACAAACAUGGAAAUGGGAUUGUGCCCACCGGAUUAAUAGAUUAAGGAUCUACUUGGUAUAUUUCUAAUAGAAUGAGGAUUCGUACUAGAACUUCUUCAAUUGUCCACGUGAGUCGAAAGUGGAACUCCAUGUGCCUCCUUGCACACACUAGUAGUAAAGCAAAAUCCAAGCCCUGGGAUACUGACAACUGACAAGCUCUCCCUCCCACAUUCCUUACAAAUGCUUCCUAUAAACUCCCGUCUCUACUGCCUAGUUUCAUUGCUAAAAAAGUCUGUCUCAAGAUCUUGAAAUAAUCAUGUUCCCAGCUUUAGUGCUUUUCCUUGCCAUAGCUCGAAAUUUAGGCAAGCAAGCUCUAGUAUCCUGUUUUAUUGUCUUUUCUAGAGCUUAUUCUUUACUGUAAUUUUCAAAUUUUAUUUUGCAAAUGCUGCAUAUUAUUGCAUUUGCAAGCAC